UACGUAGGGUGCAAGCGUUAAUCGGAAUUACUGGGCGUAAAGCGUGCGCAGGCGGUUUUGUAAGUCUGUUGUGAAAUCCCCGGGCUCAACCUGGGAACUGCAUUUGUGACUGUAGAGCUGGAGUACGGCAGAGGGGGAUGGAAUUCCGCGUGUAGCAGUGAAAUGCGUAGAUAUGCGGAGGAACACCGAUGGCGAAGGCAAUCCCCUGGGCCUGUACUGACGCUCAUGCACGAAAGCGUGGGGAGCAAACAGG
rnacentral:rRNA from 1 species